rnacentral:rRNA from 1 species
CAGCAGCCGCGGUAAUACGGAGGAUCCAAGCGUUAUCCGGAUUUAUUGGGUUUAAAGGGUGCGCAGGCGGAAGGUUAAGUCGGCGGUGAAAUUUUGCAGCUCAACUGUAAAAGUGCCAUCGAUACUGGUUUUCUUGAGUGUGGAUGAAGUAGGCGGAAUUUGUGGUGUAGCGGUGAAAUGCAUAGAUAUCACGAGGAACUCCGAUUGCGCAGGCAGCUUACUAGGCCAUAACUGACGCUCAGGCACGAAGGCGUGGGGAUCAAACAGGAUUAGAUACCCUGGUAGUCCACGCAGUAAACGAUGAUUACUCGCUGUUUGCGAUACACAGUAAGCGGCUUAGCGAAAGCGUUAAGUAAUCCACCUGGGGAGUACGUUUGCAAGAAUGAAACUCAAAGGAAUUGACGG